rnacentral:rRNA from 1 species
AGGACGAACGCUGGCGGCGUGCUUAACACAUGCAAGUCGAGCGGUGACCCUCCUUCGGGAGGUGAUCAGCGGCGAACGGGUGAGUAACACGUGGGCAACCUGCCCCUCACACUGGGAUAACCUCGGGAAACCGGGGCUAAUACCGGAUACGACCUCGAGCGGCAUCUCUUGAGGUGGAAAGCUCCGACGGUGAGGGAUGGGCCCGCGGCCUAUCAGCUUGUUGGUGGGGUAAUGGCCUACCAAGGCGACGACGGGUAGCCGGCCUGAGAGGGCGACCGGCCACACUGGGACUGAGACACGGCCCAGACUCCUACGGGAGGCAGCAGUGGGGAAUAUUGCGCAAUGGGCGAAAGCCUGACGCAGCGACGCCGCGUGAGGGAUGAAGGCCUUCGGUUGUAAACCUCUUUCAGCAGGGACGAAGCGAAAGUGACGGUACCUGCAGAAGAAGCACCGGCUAACUACGUGCCAGCAGCCGCGGUAA